GACGUAGGGCGCGAGCGUUGUCCGGAUUUAUUGGGCGUAAAGAGCUCGUAGGCGGCUUGUUGCGUCAGCUGUGAAAAACCCGCAGCUCAACUGUGGGCUUGCAGCUGAUACGGGCAGGCUUGAGUUCGGUAGGGGAGACUGGAAUUCCUGGUGUAGCGGUGAAAUGCGCAGAUAUCAGGAGGAACACCGGUGGUGUAAACGGCUUUCUGGACCAUAACUGACGCUGAGGAGCGAAAAGCGUGGGGGAGCGAACAGG
rnacentral:rRNA from 1 species